GUUUUGUCUGUGGCUUGUUCUGCUACAUUUCUUGGUACCCUGACCAGGAAGCGAGGUGAUUAACAGAGGCCAAGGCAGCCCCUUAGGCAGCUUAGGCCUGCCUUGUGGAGCAUCCCUGUGGGGACUCCAGCCAGCUUGAGCGAUGCAGAUCCUGAGAGCGCUCCUGGGUAGGCAUUUGCCCCAGUGGAACGCCUCCUCAGAGCAGUGCACGGCAGGCCCCCGCAGAGGGUCAACGCAGUGGCUGAACACCGGGAAAGAACUGGCACUUGCAGUCUGGACAUCUGAAACUUGGCAAAUACAUUGGAGACUUCUCAACUUUCUGCUUCUGAUGAUCUCAACUUGUGGUAUGGCAAAAGGAGAGCAAAAUGUUCACCCAGGGGUCUGAGUUUGGUUCAAGAGAGGAACUACAGCUGUUGGUGACUACAACCAUCUGCCCAGAUGACAUCGUGAUCAACUCCUCUGAAUCACUCUAAAGGAACGAGAAGUCCUGGCAGCUGAGUCAUGAUCCCCCAGGAGCCAUUAAGAAGUUAAUCUUCAGUCACUUCCAUCCAAACAGAAGAAAACCCAUGAAGGAUGAGAACUAUGGGUCCUGAGAAUGACAGGUAUUGAAGACAGGAUUUAUCUUCUCUACUUCUUCUUUUAGAAGCAGAUCAAGAAACUGGCGAUUGAAGAGUAACUGAAAGAAACGCAAUCUGAUCUUACUAGCAGUGAAAGAGCGAGUCUCCCUCUGAUGCCGAGCAGAAGCUAGACUGUACUGCUGCCAUCUCAGCUCACUGCAACCUCCCUGCCUGAUUCUCCUGCCUCAGCCUGCUGAGUGCCUGCAAUUGCAGGCGCGCCGCCACGCCUGACUGGUUUUCGUAUUUUUUUGGUGGAGACGGGGAUUCGCUGUGUUGGCCGGGCUGGUCUCCAGCUCCUAACCGCGAGUGAUCCACCAGCCUCGGCCUCCUGAGGUGCCGGGAUUGCAGACGGAGUCUGGUUCACUCAGUGCUCAAUGGCGCCCAGACUGGAGUGCAGUGGCGUGAUCUCAGCUCGCUACAACCUCCACCUCCCAGCCGCCUCCCUUGGCCUCCCAAAGUGCAGAGAUUGCAGCCUCUGCCCGGCCGCCACCCCGCCUGGGAAGUGAGGAGCGUCUCUGCCUGGCCGCCCAUUGUCUGGGAUGUGAGGAGCCCCUCUGCCUGGCUGCCCAGUCUGGAAAGUGAGGAGUGUCUCUGCCUGGCCGCCAUCCCAUCUAGGAAGUGAGGAGCGCCUCUUCCCGGCCGCCAUCCCAUCUAGGAAGUGAGGAGCCUCUCUGCCCAGCCGCCCAUCGUCUGAGAUGUGGGGAGCGCCUCUGCCCCGCCGCCCCGUCUGGGAUGUGAGGAGCGCCUCUACCCCGCCGCGACCCCGUCUGGGAGGUGAGGAGCGUCUCUGCCCGGCGGCCCCGUCUGGGAAGUGAGGAGACCCUCCGCCCGGCAGCCGCCCCAUCUGAGAAGUGAGGAGCCCCUCUGCCCAGCAGCCACCCUGUCUGGGAAGUGAGGAGCGUCUCUGCCCAGCAGCCACCCCGUCUGGGAGGGAGGUGGGGGGUCAGCCCCCCGCCCGGCCAGCCGCCCCGUCCGGGAGGUGAGGGGCGCCUCUGCCCGGCGGCCCCUACUGGGAAGUGAGGAGCCCCUCUGCCCGGCCAGCCGCCCCGUCUGGGAAGUGAGGAGCGUCUCCGCCCAGCAGCCACCCCGUCCGGGAGGGAGGUGGGGGGAUCAGCCCCCCGCCCGGCCAGCCGCCCAGUCCGGGAGGGAGGUGGGGGGGUCAGCCCCCCGCCCGGCCAGCCGCCCCGUCCGGGAGGUGAGGGGUGCCUCUGCCCGGCCGCCCCUACUGGGAAGUGAGGAGCCCCUCUGCCCGGCCAGCCGCCCGGUCCGGGAGGGAGGUGGGGGGGUCAGCCCCCUGCCUGGCAAGCCGCCCCGUCUGGGAGGGAGGUGGGGGGAUCAGCCCCCCGCCGGGCCAGCCACCCCGUCCGGGAGGUGAGGGGUGCCUCUGCCCGGCCGCCCCUACUGGGAAGUGAGGAGCCCCUCUGCCCGGCCAGCCGCCCCAUCCGGGAGUGAGGUGGGGGGGUCAGCCCCCUGCCCGGCCAGCCGCCCCGUCCGGGAGGUGAGGGGCGCCUCUGCCCGGCCGCCCCUACUGGGAAGUGAGGAGCCCCUCUGCCCGGCCACCACCCCGUCUGGGAGGUGUACCCAACAGCUCAUUGAGAACGGGCCAUGAUGACAAUGGCGGUUUUGUGGAAUAGAAAGCGGGGAAAGGUGGGGAAAAGAUUGAGAAAUCGGAUGGUUGCCGUGUCUGUGUAGAAAGAGGUAGACAUGGGAGACUUUUCAUUUUGUUCUGUACUAAGAAAAAUUCUUAUCCUGUUGAUCUGUGACCUUACCCCCAACCCCGUGCUCUCUGAAACAUGUGCUGUGUCCACUCAGGGCUAAAUGGAUUAAGGGCGGUGCAAGAUGUGCUUUGUUAAACAGAUGCUUGAAGGCAGCAUGCUCGUUGAGAGUCAUCACCACUCCCUAAUCUCAAGUAACCAGGGACACAAACACUGUGGAAGGCCGCAGGGUCCUCUGCCUAGGAAAACCAGAGACCUUUGUUCACUUGUUUAUCUGCUGACCUUCCCUCCACUAUUGUCCUAUGACCCUGCCAAAUCCCCCUCUGCGAGAAACACCCAAGAAUGAUCAAUAAAAAAAUAAAAUAAAAUAAAAUAAAAUAAAAUAAAUAAAGUUUCAUGCGCAUCCGUGUGAAGAGACCACCAAACAGGCUUUGUGUGAGCAGCAUGGCUGUUUAUUUCACCUGGGUGCAGGCGGGCUGAGUCCGAAAAGAGAGUCAGCCAAGGG
rnacentral:lncRNA from 1 species